GAUGAACGCUGGCGGCGUGCUUAACACAUGCAAGUCGAACGAGAAGUGGAGACGGAAACCUUCGGGCGGAAGACUUUACUUCGAGUGGCGGACGGGUGAGUAACGCGUGGGUAACCUGCCUCAUACAGGGGGAUAACAGUUGGAAACGACUGUUAAUACCGCAUAAGACCACAGCACCGCAUGGUGCGGGGGUAAAACUCCGGUGGUAUGAGAUGGACCCGCGUUCGAUUAGCCAGUUGGCGGGGUAACGGCCCACCAAAGCGACGAUCGAUAGCCGAUCUGAGAGGAUGACCGGCCACAUUGGGACUGAGACACGGCCCAAACUCCUACGGGAGGCAGCAGUGGGGAAUAUUGCACAAUGGGGGAAACCCUGAUGCAGCGACGCCGCGUGAGUGAAGAAGUAUUUCGGUAUGUAAAGCUCUAUCAGCAGGGAAGAAAAUGACAGUACCUGAGUAAGAAGCCCCGGCUAACUACGUG
rnacentral:rRNA from 1 species